UAGCGGUCAAUUACUAACCAUUUUGCUGAAGCCCCCCUGUGUACCAUGUUACAUUAGACUUGUAAAAUAUAAAACAAAUAGUGCGCUAUUCUCAUUGCAACUGAGGUUUUAAUUCCAUGUCGUAAAUCAGGGGUAGGGUAGAGUUUUAAAUUCCACAUGAAUCUUAAACAAUGAAAUCAAUAGGUUAUCAAUCCCAGACUAUACUUCCAUCUCAGAAAUAAGAUCUUGAGUCGUCGGAUGGCUUGUCAUUCUCCAUGAUAUACCUCGAUAACGACUAGACAGUACGAAUUUAUCUAUAAUACUCUAUCUCUCUUCUCUGCGGGAUUCGGUCCGUGAGGAUUCCCCCCAAACUGACGGAACUACUAGUAUUUGAUGGCCCAAGAGGGAUUGUUUGUCCGGAAAACAUGGAUACAAUGGUCGGAAUUCUUCGGGCGGUUGAAUAGUUUUAUUUAUCUGUUUACUAUACGUCUUGACCUUCCUAGCCACUUCAUAAUCAUCUGGUAACCAGGUACAUAAUCUUACAUAUAAAUGAGAGAUGACACAAAAAGGUUGAUCCAGGGUAAUUUAUUGGGCGCUGGGGUAUAAAGAGUUGUGAUUGUGUUUCAUCCCUCUCUGUUCUGCUGGUUGAACUACAUUCCCCCCAUUGACUGCCCUCAACCAAACAAAGAACUGUCAGACUGGUCUAUUCAAAUACAAUUUGCAAAGAUUAGAAAUUAAACCUUUGUUCGAAAAAUUUGUCAUGUUAUUGUGUUUCAACGCUAGACAAGGGCUUCAUAUGGCUGAUCUGGGAGCUCUACAAAAUUUGUUAUUUGAUAAAUCAAACGAGUCUUCAAUAAUUUUGUAAUUAAAAAUGAGACAAAUUUUUUAAAUACAAGUUUGACACAAUGUUGUAACCCUACUUUGCAUUUUCUUUUAAUCAGGGAGUUUAAAUAUUGAGUUAUUUGGAAGAUCACGAAGUGACACGAGACGGUGGGCUCCCGGAAGCCCACACAAAGACACGGAGCUUCGAUCGCUCCACCAAUGAUAAGCCUCGUGAGCAGCAAUGUCACCAACAAUCAAUCUUCCAAAAAUUAAUAAAAUCAUAAGGUGAACGAAUAAUUGUCUUUAAUUUCGCUGUAAUAAAACAUUCCUAUUCGAGGCCUUCAGCGUUCUUCAGCAUGCUCACCUGUGCUUUGGCCAGCAACUAGAUACACCUCCGUUUUACUCAGGGUCGUCUGCUGAAAAUGUAACAAAAGAGGAAGGACCCCAGACUCUGCCAAAGCCACGGAACUUUAUCGUUUGUAUGAAAAGUGGGGCUAUUAACAAUGCAUAAAAGUUUGGUAAAGAUCGUCCAUGUUGACACGCCGAUUACAAAUAUCAACAUGAAGAAACUAUUGAUUUUAAUAAUGGGGUCUGUAUUACAUAUAUCGUGUUAAAUAUUGCAAACACGAGCUAUUGAGCGGUAACUUGUAAUUUAUUUUUGAACAAAUCUGACUCAUAAAAGAAGUUGCACGGUGUAUACUAUUCAAGAAGCUAUAGGCCUGUGUAAGCAGAUUAAUAUUGACCCACAGGAUCAAAGGAAAUCUUACAAACUUCUCGAUCCGAGAGAUGUUUAAACAGAAUAUAGCCGCUGUAUGGAAAAUUUGGUUGGUUUUGUUGUUUUAUCGAAUUAUUGACGGAUAAAUCAAAACCGAGCCACCGACAAACCUAAUAUGAUACUUUUUGUGUACACUUAUUUACCACUGGGAUAGACACCGGAUCGAGAAUCCGGUUUGAUUCCAUCCCGUCUGGCAUACGGGAAUUGUGUUGAUCCUAACGUCUGUCACAUGGAAAUUCUGUUGUCGUCAGAUCAAUUAUUAAUUACGGCGUUGGGUUCCUCGACAGAUGAAAAAAAAUGAUUUCGUAAAGUACAACAAUAAAUAAAUUAAAAUGAGAUGUCAUGCAAGAUUUGCAGGAAGGUUUUGAAUCCUUUGUUGGGAGUGAUGAACAUAGUUUUAAUGGUCCUGCAAGUCCCGAGUCAGGAUACGCUGUCCAAGAAGACUUGCAUGAUUAUCAACGUUUGUUGGACGCUACAAGUGAUUAAUAUUUUUCGUGAAUUGGGAAACUAAUUUUUUUUUUUGAAAAGUUUUAAAAGGUAGGAGACGGAUAAGACAUUUUUAUGUUUUCUCAAAGAAAUAACCAGGUCUACAAAAUUGCAAGUCUCAUUGCAAGUAGAUGUUGAAAGUAGACUUUCAUAAUAUGACAGGUACUUGAGAAACUAGGAUACACAUAUGGGACUGGGAACAGAUUUGUUCAAACCGCGACCAUUACUCGUCUCGGGUAGAAAUAACAAAAGAUCAAAGAGAAAAGGGAUGACACAAAAUGUUUUAUAGAUGGAAGCUUCAACUCAAGGCAUAAAAUGAGAAGUCUUUGAAAGAGUUUUCUCCCAAAAGCCAUUUUAUUUGGUUUGCAACAAAUUAAAUUAAUUUAAUCUAUAAUUGUCCCCAAACAAAAUCACAAAGUAGAUUCCUUUCAAAUACCCCCAAAAUCCAGCCCAGGAACAUAUUAUCAUUCCUCACCUUGACAAUUUGAAUGAAUGGAGAAAAUUCUUAAUUGAAUCAUCCCCACAUAAUAGACAAGUUUGGCCCCGGCCACUCGAUAAAGUGCAUUUUGGGAUAUCCGAGUGAGAGAAAAUACGAAAGAAUUAAAAUUUAAAUAUUGACAAACUCUUACUUUCACAGAGAACGCACAUUAGUCAUAUUUCGAGCUGAUUAUUCCUUGAGAUAAAUGAGACAGUUGUUGGAUAUUGUCCUCAUUUAUCUUCAAAGACAGAGAACAGUGAUUUAAAAUCGAUAAAAAAAAGUGUGUGAACGGUAAAGUAAAUUCAGUUCAAUGUAACCUACCUACCCAACGAUAUUCUUUCACAAAAAACUUCAUUAUUUUGAGUUAUGUAACAAUGCAAUGUGGGGCUGAAUUUCUUGGUUACGUGUAUUGAAGACAGCAACUCGUACAUCUAGGUCGUGCCGAGUUCACCAAGGACAUCGUCAUUCUCAUUGUAUUAGGUAAAGGUAUCCGUUAAUUCCAAUUACAGAUCAAAUGCUGUGACGUCAUCGUUUGUUCGAUUCAGAAAGAGAAUUGUUGCCCGAAGCUUUAUAUGAUAUUGACGAAGUAUAAUACUAACCUUUUAAAAUGGCGGGGAAAACACAUCAAUCAGGCUCUAUAUUGGCUUUCCUGGCACUUCAAGGGAUUUCAAAAAACAAAUAAAUAUGAACAAGAUGUCAAUAGGCCACAAAGCUCACCUGAAUCACUACAACUCAUUAGGUACAUGGUUAGCUGCAGAACUUUAGCUCUCUGAAAAAAUAUUUUGACGGAACAGGGGUGGAUCUGUAGGUAUAUGUUCCGUCAAAGUAUUUUUUCAGAGAGCUACAGUUCUGCAGCUAGUACAUGGUUUGAAGUUGAUUUUAAAAUAUGGCUUAUACGUGAUAUGAGGUGAGAGCGAAUUUACUGGCCAUUUACAAACCAUAUUAGGUCAACUACAAAACAUGUAACGAAUAUACCUUAGACCGACUGCCUUCUUCUUUUUCAAUUAUCGAUAAAACUUGCAUAAUUUUGAGCGAUCAUGUAGGACACACAUUCGGCCAGUAUCCUAUAGUACAUUUAGGGGCGGAAGUGGGUAUCCAAAUAAAAUAGCCCGAAUUUUCACUGUGCUUUACAUUAAACACUAAGUCUUCUUCACUUAGUGCAGUUAGGUUUUUUAAGAGUUCUUUGCUAUUUCUGUGUGUGUGUGUGUGUGUGUGUGUGUGUGUGUGAGAGAGAGAGAGAGAGAGAGAGAGAGAGAGAGAGAGAGAUAAUCUUACAAAAACCACACACACACUUGUAACACACCGUUGGAAUAAGAGCUAUUCUUUAUUCAUAAUUCUUUAUUUUCUGAUAUUAUGUAAUAUAAAAGCAUGUAACAUAUGUAUGCAUCAAUCUUUAAUUUACAGAAUAUGUUUUGAGAGAGAGAGAGAGAGAGAGAGAGAGAGAGAGAGAGAGAGAGAGAGAGAGAGAGUAAAUAUAUCAAAUGGUUGUUUCAGUCGAAUAAAAAGUUCCAUCAAUUCUA